rnacentral:rRNA from 1 species
GAUGAACGCUAGCUACAGGCUUAACACAUGCAAGUCGAGGGGCAGCAUGGUCUUAGCUUGCUAAGGCCGAUGGCGACCGGCGCACGGGUGAGUAACACGUAUCCAACCUGCCGUCUACUCUUGGACAGCCUUCUGAAAGGAAGAUUAAUACAAGAUGGCAUCAUGAGUCCGCAUGUUCACAUGAUUAAAGGUAUUCCGGUAGACGAUGGGGAUGCGUUCCAUUAGAUAGUAGGCGGGGUAACGGCCCACCUAGUCUUCGAUGGAUAGGGGUUCUGAGAGGAAGGUCCCCCACAUUGGAACUGAGACACGGUCCAAACUCCUACGGGAGGCAGCAGUGAGGAAUAUUGGUCAAUGGGCGCAGGCCUGAACCAGCCAAGUAGCGUGAAGGAUGGCUGCCCUAUGGGUUGUAAACUUCUUUUAUAAAGGAAUAAAGUCGGGUAUGUAUACCCGUUUGCAUGUACUUUAUGAAUAAGGAUCGGCUAACUCCGUG